GUCACCGCUUAGUGAAGGCUAAUAGUAACAACUAUUUAUAUGGAACAUUUACAAAAUCACCAGCACUGUGCAGAGAAUUUGACAUGAUCCUAACUAAGUCACCUCCCCAGAGCUUACCCUGGAUUUUUUUAUUAUCCCCAUUUUUUAGAUUAAGAACUAAGGCUGUGAGCAGGGAAAUACCUUGCCCAAGGCUACAUUGCUGAUUUUACAGACUGGAGAAUUGAGGCCCAGAAUGUCUAACCCUGCCAGAGCCAAAGAGCAAGAAGGAGUCAACUUCAAUUCCAUGUCUUUGCCAGCUGGAGAGGCCCAUGGGACAAGGAACUGAGGGAGGCCAUCCACCAUUGCAAUGAAGGAACAGAGGCCCUCAGCCCAGUCACCCUGGAGGGACUGAAUUCCAACAACAACUAUGAGUGAGCCCAGAAUUGGAGCCUUCAGAUGAGACCACAACCCUGGCUAACACCUUGAUUGCAGCUUUGUGAGAGAUCCUAAGCCAGAGGCCCCCAGCUAAGUGAUACAUGGAUUUCUGACCCACAGAAACUAAACCAUCCAUUGCCUCUACCAGAGAGCUGGGACGAUGUGGUUUGCAUGUUGAGAUCAAGAAUCCAGGAGAACCAGCCAAGGUGUCUGCAGAAUCUACCAGCUCUAAAUUGUUGGAAAUGCUGGUGGAAUUGAAAUCCCCUUAGUGAGAUGCAGCAACUUUCAUCUGAGACAUAUGCUGUAAUUAGCAGUUUCUUAAUUACCGAGUGCUUGAAGUAUGUCAUACUGGGAAGGGGUGGCGGGAAAAUGCUGCUGCGCUUGAAGACACAAGGUGACCACGUUCUCUCAACCAGCUUGAGACCCCAGGUUCACUCUUACUGCAGCACAAACACACUGUGGCCAAGAGAAGACCAUUCAAAGGUACCCCACUGCUUCCUAUUUAGAGGGGGAAAAAGGACGUCAUAUAUCCCUGCUCAUGAUGGCAUAAUUUGGUGUUAAAGUCAGUUGUGAUGGCAAAGUAAAGUUUUGGUUUGUUUGGUGAGAAAACUGAGUUCACCCUCUUGCCACCCUCUUAUCUGUUUGAGCCAGAAACGAUCCCAUCUACCAAGUGCUGUCUGAGAGCCAGGGUCCAUGCCCAACAAUUUUCAUGCAUCGAUACCUUUCAUCUCAUGAAGCGGGCACUACUCUGAUAUGCCUUUGCUAGGUAAGGAAGCUGAAAUUCAAGGAGAUUUUGUUCCUUGUUAGUGACAACAUCAAGGCAAAGUGGCUCUAGAGCCUGCCUGCUUAGUCACAACUGUGCCUUGUCACUCUACUGCUUUGAACCAGGCAGCUAUUGUGCCGGUGGCAUAUAUACAAGGAGGCUGAGGGACAGAGCAAAUAUUCAGGACAAGAGUGAGUCAUGCUGAGGGAUUGUGGCAAGAAGAAGGCUGGCUGUGGGUAGGGGAGGGCCUUGGGCCUGGGGAGAACAGAAAUUCUAUUGAAUUUCUAACUAAGUGCUGGGCAGAGUAGCUCUUCUUCCUUACCUCCUUAUGAAAUCAUCAGUCAAAUACACUCAUUUCUUGUUAAAGCAUUGCGAGUUGCAUCCCUUUGCAGAGAUGUGUUUAACUCUUGAGCCACGCUUCCAAUUGGGCUUGGGGCAGAAAAGGAAAGUCCCCAGAUGCUGUCCUGUUAUACCUGCUUGGCUUGUUUUAGAACAAGAGUCUUUCAAGUCCUGGGACUAAUUUAUUGGCUUCGGUUACAGGGGAGCUGCAGCUUAGGCUGCCUGGCUUUUGUAGGACCACAAAGAGGAAUCUCUGAGAUGCUUUGUUUCUUCUAGAAUAAGAUCCAGUACUAAAGGGGAAACGUGCUUCUGUAACUUGGUCAAGGUUUACAAAGAGAAACACCCUGUCCCUCUCUGCAUGAAUUUCCAUUGGCCUUCUAUGGAAUUUAUGGCUUUUGUAGGAAGGGCAAAAUCUGGCAGUGGGAGGAAAU
rnacentral:lncRNA from 10 species